CAUUUUCAGUCCUCUGCAGUUUUUGCUUGCAGUAGAAUUCUCAGAGGUUAGCAGUCCUGAAAGCAUUAAAUCCCUUUUUCUUUCUUCUUCCCUUUGUUACAAGCAGCUUUAAAUAUGUGUUGUUAUUCUGUCAAAGUGCAGGACAAGAUUCAGCUGGUGCAGGAUGUGUGGAGAAGACCUUUUUAAAGCCAGUGAAGAUCAUGUCAUCCUCAUCCCAGGACAAGAUGAUGCGGUACAUCCUGGGUAGCACUGAGUGUUGAGGAGAUCCUGCAGCAUGAGCUGGACUGGUAAAGUCUCCAGGCGUUACACUACCAGGGUGUUUGUGAAGGUGUGUGGCACGGUUCCCCAGCUGACGUUCAUAUUAGGACUAAAAAGGUGCUUCUGGGCACCAUGGAGUCUGAUGUGAAGGAGGAUUUUUUUGGCAGUAA